AUGUCGCAGCUGGAUCCGCAUCGACGCGUCACUAUCUGCAACGACACUACUCCGCAACUGGCAUCUCAUGGACUGUUUGAUGUAUAUGUCAAGGCGAUGGGUGACACACACAUUGAUGAUCAUCACUCAAAUGAGGAUAUUGCUUUAGCAAUUGGAACGGCAUUACUUCAAGCACUUGGUGACAGAAAAGGGAUUAACAGGUUUGGGCAUUUUACAACACCACUUGAUGAGGCAGCAGUUGAGGAUAUACUGGGUCUAUAUGGUCGACCUCAUUUGAGCUGCGGCUUAAGUAUUCCUACCGAGAGAGUUGGCACAUAUGAUACACAGGCAUUACUUCAAGCACUUGGUGACAAAAAAGGGAUUAACAGGUUUGGGCAUUUUACAGCACCACUUGAUGAGGCAGCAGUUGAGGAUAUACUGGGUCUAUCUGGUCGACCUCAUUUGAGCUGCGGCUUAAGUAUUCCUACCGAAAGAGUUGGCACAUAUGAUACACAGAUCUUUCCCAACCCUAAAUAUUCUCGCUGA
rnacentral:rRNA from 1 species